UGGAGCUGACUGUGUUUUCUGCAGGAGGAGUGUUUCCUCAACUUGGAGGCUCCCAUCAGCAGGGUUUGUGGGUAUGAUACGCCCUUCCCUCACAUCUUUGAGCCCUUCUACAUCCCUGACAAGUGGAAGUGCUUUGAGGCUGUGAAGCGUAUGAUCAACUUCUAAAGCACAGGCGACACAGAUCAAGAACUCGUCCUCUUCUACAUCAGUGAACAAACCAGUCAAUAACACCAUCACAGCUAACUAGGUUUCUACCUGUAGAUGGGACCAUGUUAAUGGACAGGCUGUCAUUUUUGGGAAACGUCCUUGAUCAUGUGUCUAGAAGAUGAAACGUGGUUUCUAAACACUAACAUGUGGACAUCACACGGGUGCUGUGAUCUUCUGUCUGUACUCUCGCUGUUACCUGGAUGUCACCAUCUUCCGUUUAGUUUUUUGUUAUUAAACUUAAUUGAGGCCGGAUCUUGUGUGUUACUGUUUUAUUGGUGAGUUACUGAAUGUACCAUCCUGUUUCUUAAAUCUUUGAUUUAAUUGAAUAAAUCAUCUCUGUUCAAAAA